rnacentral:rRNA from 1 species
AGUGAACGCUGGCGGUAGGCCUAACACAUGCAAGUCGAACGGCAGCACAGAGGAGCUUGCUCCUUGGGUGGCGAGUGGCGGACGGGUGAGGAAUACAUCGGAAUCUACUCUGUCGUGGGGGAUAACGUAGGGAAACUUACGCUAAUACCGCAUACGACCUACGGGUGAAAGCAGGGGACCUUCGGGCCUUGCGCGAUUGAAUGAGCCGAUGUCGGAUUAGCUAGUUGGCGGGGUAAAGGCCCACCAAGGCGACGAUCCGUAGCUGGUCUGAGAGGAUGAUAGGCCACACUGGAACUGAGACACGGUCCAGACUCCUACGGGAGGCAGCAGUGGGGAAUAUUGGACAAUGGGCGCAAGCCUGAUCCAGCCAUACCGCGUGGGUGAAGAAGGCCUUCGGGUUGUAAAGCCCUUUUGUUGGGAAAGAAAUCCAGCUGGCUAAUACCCUGUUGGGAUGACGGUACCCAAAGAAUAAGCACCGGCUAACUUCGUGCCAGCAGCCGCCGUAA